AGAAUCAACGCUGGCGGCGUGCCUCAGACAUGCAAGUCGAACGAUUAAACUUCCCUUCGGGGAAGAUAUAAAGUGGCGCACGGGUGAGUAACACGUAAGUAAUCUACCUUUGAGUGGGGAAUAACCCGGGGAAACCCGAGCUAAUACCGCAUAAUGCAGCGGCAUCGCAAGAUGACAGUUGUUAAAGGAGCAAUCCGCUUAAAAGAGGAGCUUGCGGCAGAUUAGCUAGUUGGUAAGGUAAUGGCUUACCAAGGCUACGAUCUGUAACCGGUCUAAGAGGACGGUCGGUCACACUGACACUGAAUAACGGGUCAGACUCCUACGGGACGGCAGCAGGUCGGGAAUUUUGGGCAAGUGGGACGAAAGCCUAGACCAGCAACGCCGCGUGAAGAUGAAGUAUUCGGUAUGUAAACGUUCGAAAGAAUAGGAAACGAAUAAAGUGUAACGGUACUAAUUUAUAAAGGUUCCGACUAAC
rnacentral:rRNA from 1 species